rnacentral:tRNA from 1 species
GCCAGCGUGGUGUAGUGGUUUGAGCACUGGACCAUGACACUGGAGACCAGGGUUCGAAUCCUGCCUUGGCU